rnacentral:rRNA from 1 species
GACGAACGCUGGCGGCGUGCUUAACACAUGCAAGUCGAACGAGAAUCUGUGGAAAGAGGAUUCGUCCAAUUGAAGCAGAGGACAGUGGCGGACGGGUGAGUAACGCGUGAGGAACCUGCCUUUCAGAGGGGGACAACAGUUGGAAACGACUGCUAAUACCGCAUAACAUAUAGAUGUCGCAUGGCAUUUAUAUCAAAGAUUUAUCGCUGAAAGAUGGCCUCGCGUCUGAUUAGCUAGUUGGUGAGGUAACGGCCCACCAAGGCGACGAUCAGUAGCCGGACUGAGAGGUUGAACGGCCACAUUGGGACUGAGACACGGUCCAGACUCCUACGGGAGGCAGCAGUGGGGAAUCUUCCGCAAUGGGCGAAAGCCUGACGGAGCAACGCCGCGUGAGUGAUGACGGCCU